UAAAUUCAAUAGCUUAAGCUCUUUUGGGAGAUAAAAGAUUUAAUAAUAUUUUUUUCUUAAAAAGUUAGGAUUUUUACUUUUUGUUUUUCUUUAUUCUUCAAUCUUGUUUUACAGAGGAUGCAAAAUGUUGAAACCAUUUCUCUAGACUUGUCUAGAUCAAAAGAAAUAUGGUUCACUACAAACAUAUUUGCUAAGAUGAAGAAAGUGUUUGUCAAGAUGAAGAACCUUAGGUUUCUCAAAGUCUAUUCUAGUCAUGGUGAUGAGUACAAAAUGCUUCUUCCUAAAGGCUUUGAAUUUCCUCCUAAUUUAAACUAUCUUCAUUGGGAUGGUUUAGAGUCUUUGCCUUCGAAUUUUUAUGGAGAGAAGCUUGUUGCAAUUAUCUUGAAGUCUAGCAACAUAAAAACACUUUUGAAAGGGGACAAGGUAUGAUCAUUAUUUAAUUUCUUUUUUUUUUAUGCUAAUUUUCAAGUUCUUGGAAGGUUUUUAUUAAAAAAAUGUCUUUUACUAUAGUGCUUUGCAGAAUUGAAAUUCAUUAAUCUAAGUAAGUCGCAACAGCUCAUCAAAAUACCAGAAUUCUCAAGGAUGCCAAAAUUGGAGAAACUUAAUCUUCACGGUUGUGUAAGCUUCAGCAAACUUCAUUCAUCUAUUGGCACAUUUUCUCAGAUGAAAUUUUUGAGGGUGCUUAAUUUUAGUGAGAGUGGAAUUAGAGAACUCCCAAGCAGCAUUGGGUCCUUGAUAUAUCUUGAAACUCUUAAUCUCUCAAAGUGUUCAAAGUUUGAGAAAUUCCCUGAUAUUUUCUUUGUGAAUAUGAGACAUUUAAAGAUGCUUCGAUUAUCUGAUAGUGGUAUUAAAGAACUCCCAACCAGCAUUGAGUGCUUAGAGGCUCUUGAAAUUUUGUUACUCGAUAAUUGCUCAAAUUUUGAGAAGUUCCCUGAGAUCCAAAAGAAUAUGGAAAAUCUGUCUUAUCUUGCUCUAGAAAAUACUGCUAUUAAAGAAUUAUCCUGCUGGACAAGUCAUCUUACCCGACUUACAGAAUUAAGUUUGAGAGGAUGCAAAAAUUUGAGGAGUCUUCCAAGCAGCAUUUGUCAGUUGAAAUUCUUGAGAUACUGCCAUCUCGAUGGUUGUUCAAAUCUAGAGAUUUUUUCGGAGAUCACGGAAGAUUUGGAACAUUUAAGAUACCUUAAUUUACGUCAAUUGGCUAUAACAGAGCUACCAUCAUCAAUUGAACGUCUAAAACGUCUUACACGCUUGGAAUUGAGCAAUUGUGAUAAACUUGAGACUCUUCCAAACAGCAUUGGUAAUUUGACGUGUCUUCAUGCUCUUCUUGUUCGUAACUGUCGAAAGCUCCACAAAUUGCCCGACAGUCUGAGAAGCCUACAUCGUUGCUUAAAAGAACUAGAUGUAGGUGGUUGCAAUUUGAUGGAAGGAGCAAUCCCUAGUGAUUUAUGGUGCUUGUUCUCAUUGGAAUCGUUAAAUGUGAGUGAAAACAAUAUUCGUUGCAUACCUGUUGGCAUCAUUCAACUUUCUCAGCUGGAUAUCCUUCGCAUGAAUCAUUGUCCGAUGCUUGAAGAAAUUCCAGAGCUUCAAUCAAGUUUAAGAUGGAUAGGAGCACAUGGUUGUCCAUGCCUGGAAACUUUAUCAAGUGAUCCAAUGCAUCCACUCUGGUCCUCUCUUCUCAACUGCUUCAAAUCACAAAUUCAGGAUUUUGAAUGCCCAACACGCUCAAAGUACUACUGUGAAACUAGAGUUGUCAUUCCAGGAAGUAGAGGAAUACCAGAGUGGAUAAGUCAUAAGAGUAUGGGAAGUGAAAUAACAAUAGAUCUCCCAAAGAAUUGGUACGAAGAUAACAACUUCUUGGGAUUUGCUUUAUUCAACCAUCAUGUUCCACUCGAUUAUGAUCAUGAUUUACUUAAUCCAACAUUGGAUUUGUUGAUGUCCCAUGGAAAUCGGUUUGAAUACAUGCAUCGCAUAUGGUUUAGUCCAGAAGGUAAAAAAUGCUUUACUAAUGGUGUUUCAAUUUGGCCUUGGGGCUUUGAGAAGGAUUGCACAUCAUGUCCAGAUCCAGAAUUGAUGGUGGCCUAUUUCCCUCAGAUUGCCAUUUCAAGUAAGUAUCGAUCCAAUAGGUGGAACAACUUCAAGGCUAGGUUUUACGGCCCUUAUGGGCGUGGCGCCCAAGUGGAAAGUUGUGGGAUCCAUCUCAUAUAUAACAAAGCCCAAGAUCAUUCUCAACAGACCCUUCAACUAUUCAAUGUCAAAAGAAGCCAUGAUGAUAUAGAGGAUCACCCACAUGUCUAGUUUCCAGCUCCCUCCGCCAAGGCUUUCAGCUAAGCUCUCCUCUCUCCCAUCAACUUUGGUUUCGGUCUCUCCUCUCACCGUUGGCGAAUCACAAACCUCACCGGCGCAACGGGCAAUGAAAUAUUCCUAUUGCCGAAAACGCUGAUCGGUCGGAGAUUAAAGCCCUAGAUCAACCAGAAUCUCACUGAAGAACCCUACCGAAAAAAGAGCAUCCUUGAGACUGCGAAAACAAGUUCGAGAAGACAUUUUGUUUAGAUGUUCUUCCUUAGCUUGAUUGAGCACACACUGCAAUUGCGGCCUCAUCUUCUGGACCUUCCCCUCGAUGAAGCCGUCAAAGGAGAGUUUGAAAGUCUCUUCUUAGACAAGCCAAAAUUGAUUAUUUUGAGCGGCUUCGCCCAGAAGAACUGUAUCAACAAAAUAUAGAAGCCUUAGUUGCUGAGAACAAUCUGCGUGUAGAUCUGGAAGGACGGAUUCGAGUUCUGAGAAUGAUUUCCGAAGCCAUAGAAAGUUUCCAAUGAAUGGAACUGUAAUGGGUCCCGGAGGGAGCCUGUUUUUUGGGAAGACAAGAUCAUAGAGAGCCUUGAGAAGAGCCGCAACACAGAGGGAGACGAUGAUGAAGAACCACUUCUCCAUAUCCUAAAAUCAGAAUGGUCUUCUGCAGAGGAGCGGGUCAAGGAAAGGUCAGUGCACUCCAAGGAAACCCCACAGUUCAUGUCAGGUGCUCAGUCAUUGGAGAAUAUCACAAGUAAAGGUACUGCAGAAACUGGAAGUGCAGUUUCCUUUAGUGAUGAUGAAGACCUCAGCCAGUUAUCUGGGUCAAAAUCUACCACUAAGGGCAGAAGUAGUUCAUCAGCAACUUUUAAGUACUCCCAUGAUGCUUCUGAACAUGGUAAAGAUGUACAGUUGAGGGAAAUGUCAUCCUUUGCAUUGGGGAGAUUGGCAUAGGUUAUACUCCUAGAAUUCUUUUAUUUCCUUUUCAAAUUACAAGUGACAAAUAAUAUUGAUGGCAUGAAAUGCUUACUAUAUUAUAUCAAUGAGUAGUCUGUUUCUUUCAAGUUAUCUUUACAGGAUUUAUCACAACAAGUAGUUUUGUUUUAAAGUGAUUUCAAACACAAUAUAUUUCUGAAUUUUAUUUUAUCUGCUUCCUAUUCCUGUUUACUCUUCCUUUUGAGGUAUACACCAUUUGUCUCAACUUAAAACAUGCACUUCCAUUGAUAUACAGUAGUUUGGUUCAUUGCAGUUGGUCCAUUGAUAUAAAGUGUACCACCUUGCUGUAAAUCCAGGCAACCAUCAAAAUUUUUAGCCGUGAAAUGAAAAUUUUGUAUAUGCUGUUCCAUUUAUGAUGGAUAAUUGCAUCCUUACACCUUAUAGUUUUGGUUCAUUUAUAACAUAAAACUUGGGUAUGGUCAAUGGACUCACUUCAUGAAUUUUGGUAAUGCCCAAGCUCAAGCUCGAGUUUCAAGUCAAUUAUAUAGAGACUGAAAAAGAACACUACUGCUUAAACCUUAAAUUUGAGCUACGAAAAGCGUGGGCUUUAAUUUUUGUUACAUUGUAGACACUGAUCAAAUGACUGCCUAAAACUUGGUAUUCUAUUUCCAAUGAAAAGAGACAAAAAGAGCACUACCAUGCUGGAGCUUACUUUUUCUUUAAAACUGGACUCACACAUAAGCUGCUUUUUUUCACCCAAAAUUCUGCAUAUUUAAUUAUCUUGCAACAAGGCCAGAAUUUAUAAAGUAAUUCCAACCUUGCUUGUUUUUCCUUGUUCAUCUUCUCACAUUUUCAUUUUCGACCAAAAUAGCUAGAGAGAUGAUUAUUUUCUUUGAUUGCUUUCUCUUAUAUCAGGUUCCAAAUAGUAUCAAAAACCUUCUAGGCUUGCAAAUACUUCUCUAAAAUCUAAUUUAUAGCACUAUUGCUGACUUUGCUUUUGAACUAUUCUUUCCCCUUCAUUUUCCAAUACUAUAUAUUCUCUCUCUUUUUUUUUUCUUUUUUUUUUUUUCCCCUUUUUGAUAAGAACAAAACAACUUCUUCACCAUAUGAGCCAACUGAUGUACCAUUUUCUUUCAAAAAUGGUUCCCUUAACAGCCAUGCAAAUUUUCUGCGUAAAAUAGACCAUUUUCUUCAAUAUUGAUUAGAAAGGUGAACUCCGGUGAAGUUUACAUGUAAGGUGUGAUCAUAUUAUGAACUAAUUUUCCUUUAUCUUUAUAUGCUAUCUUCUUAUUGGCCUUCACUUUUAACUUCUGUUUAUCUUUUUUUUCUUCUGGAUUACCCCCAAAAAUCUGCCAACCUGCCUACAAAAGAAAAGAAUUGUUUAGUGGAGCAAUUGUGUGAAGUUCUAUAUUUGCUAAUAAGUUUACUUCUUGUUCUUGUUCUGACUAGGUAAAAAGGGAAAAAGAAGAAAAACAAUUACUGAGGCAGUUUUUUGUGGAGAUUGUGGGCAAUUGCCUCACUCUAGAAUGAUUGAUUUGCUUCCUGGCUUCUUGCAAAAUUGCAUUUCCUCUUUUGGUAAAUUGCAAAAUUGCAAAAUAUGAUGAAUUAAUUCAGCAUAUUUGGUUGACUGAUUUGGUAAACCUUGCACUGGCCUAAUUUAUGUUCUCUAUUUGAAAACUAAGAAAGUGUCAAGAACUGGUAUCAAACCCCUAUUUCUUAUCCCUUCUCAACUGAGACAAGUAUCAAUUUACUGGUGACCCUGUUCUUGAGACACUGGUGAAGGUACAUCAUGAAGCAUUUCCCAUAGUCACUCAUUAGAAUUGUAGUUCUGUUUCUGAAUUGAGAAAUGUGUUUGCGAAAUACCCCAGUUUGCCUUAUUUUUCUGGCUGUGUUGCCCAGAAUAUCACAAAUGAAUGGGCUAAAGGAGUGUUUAGUGAUGCCGAAAAACAAUAACACAUCAUACAUAUGUUAUUGUUUCUUCUUUUUCUUCUUCUUCUUCCUAUUUUCUCUGGUUUUUAUUUUUUCUUUAAGAUUUUAGAUUCUUACAGGUGCAUAUUGCAUAGAGAGGUGUUGGUGCAACCUUUGAUUGAGAUGCUUCAUUAUGCAGAUGUACAGUUGAGGGAAAUGUCAUCCUUUGCAUUGGGGAGAUUGGCAUAGGUUAUACUCCUAGAAUUCUUUUAUUUCCUUUUCAAAUUACAAUUGAUGGCAUGAAAUGCUUACUAUAUUAUAUCAAUAAGUAGUCUGUUUCUUUCAAGUAAUCUUUACAGGAUUCAUCACAACAAGUAGUUUUGUUUUAGAGUGAUUUCAAACACAAUAUAUUUCUGAAUAUUAUUUUACCUGCUUCCUAUUCCCGUUUA